UGUCAUUCUAUGUGUUCGUGCUUUCCGUUUGUGCAGCUCUGAUCUUCAGAAUAGCAUCAGGACUCCAGUGUUACAGCUGCAAUAUUAUCGCUGGAGCAAAAUAUAUUGACAAGGGGUGUACAAACCCUGAAGUCGUCACAUGUUCCCAAUCACACAAGGGGUUCAAACAGCGGUUCUGCAUAAAAACUGAGAGCGUGGUGUUGGGAAUUCUCUUGACAAGUGGGUGUGCUACCUCCCGUCACUGCCAGCAACAGGAGCUGCCUGGAGUGAGGAUACAUUGCUGUG